AUGUCUACUUGCCUCACGGACAUAAUAUGUGCCAAUGAGGUAGAUUUUAUUGGGUUACAAGAGACUAUGAAGGGAUCUUAUAAAUACUCCUUUUUUAGGAAGAUAGACCCAUAUUAGAAAUUUCAUUGGGAAUGGGUUCCCUCGAGGGGGAAGUCGGGAGGUAUUCUGUGUGGCAUCAAUAAAGAUAAAUUUGAUGUUCUCGGAUCUAAACAGGGACAAUACAUCCUGCAAAUGGACUUGUUUGAUAAAAACAAGAAAUGUAGUUGGUCUCUUCUAAUAGUAUAUGGUGCUGCUCAUGAUGAGCAUAAACCUGAAUUCAUCGCAGAAUUAUCCUCAUUGUGUCAUAAUAUCAAAAGACCAUAUUUGGUGGGGGGGGACUUCAAUAUUAUUCGCCACAAUGGUGAGAAAAACAAAAAAACACCCCUAUCUCAUUUUUCAGAUGUUUUUAACUCUGUUAUCCACCUGCUUGGUUUAAGAGAAAUUCACAUGGCUGGGGGGUGCUAUACGUGGUCCAAUAAGCAGGAAAACCCAACCCUUGAAAAAUUGGAUAGAGUGCUGAUGUCUCCGGAGUGGGAAGACUUAUUUCCCCUCGCUUCGGUGAGCAAGCUAGUUAAGGAAUUAUCUGACCACAAUCCCCUACUAUUG
rnacentral:rRNA from 1 species